CGGCGGACGGGUGAGUAAUGCUUGGGAAUAUGCCUUAUGGUGGGGGACAACAGUUGGAAACGACUGCUAAUACCGCAUGAUGUCUACGGACCAAAGUGGGGGACCUUCGGGCCUCACGCCAUAAGAUUAGCCCAAGUGGGAUUAGCUAGUUGGUGAGGUAAUGGCUCACCAAGGCGACGAUCCCUAGCUGGUUUGAGAGGAUGAUCAGCCACACUGGGACUGAGACACGGCCCAGACUCCUACGGGAGGCAGCAGUGGGGAAUAUUGCACAAUGGGCGCAAGCCUGAUGCAGCCAUGCCGCGUGUGUGAAGAAGGCCUUCGGGUUGUAAAGCACUUUCAGUAAGGAGGAAAGGUUAAGUGUUAAUAGCACUUAGCUGUGACGUUACUUACAGAAGAAGCACCGGCUAACUCCGUGCCAGCAGCCGCGGUAAUACGGAGGGUGCGAGCGUUAAUCGGAAUUACUGGGCGUAAAGCGUACGCAGGCGGUUUGUUAAGCGAGAUGUGAAAGCCCCGGGCUCAACCUGGGAACUGCAUUUCGAACUGGCAAACUAGAGUGUGAUAGAGGGUGGUAGAAUUUCACGUGUAGCGGUGAAAUGCGUAGAGAUCUGAAGGGAAUACCGAUGGCGAAGGCAGCCACCUGGGUCAACACUGACGCUCAUGUACGAAAGCGUGGGGGAGCAAACAGGAUUAGAUACCCUGGUAGUCCACGCCGUAAACGA
rnacentral:rRNA from 1 species